CAUGAUAGUAGUAAUCCUGCUCAGUAUGAGAGGAAUCACAGGUUCAGAGCCCUGGUGCUGGCACUGGCUGAGGAGCCACUGGCGCAAGGCCACAAUCUGCAGGUGUAUGACUGGACGCUUCUAAGUCAGAAUCCCGCUGAGACGUAGUG
rnacentral:ncRNA from 1 species